AUGGGAAUGUGGGAGGAAGCGAGUGACCCAGUGAUGGGGAAGAAGGAUAAAAAUGAGGAGCGGAAGGAGAGAAUCCUGAAUCUCACACUGGAGAUUAUCUAUCUGCUGACUGGAGAGGGCUACGUCAUCCCUAAGAAGAAGAGCCCAACUGUGGGUUUGGGGGCCCUGCAUGCCCCUGGCUCCGUCAUACAGAAGGAAAAUGACAAGAAGAUCCUGGAACUCAUCUCCAACAUCAUCCAGCUGCUGACUGGAGAGGUUGCCAUAAGGUGUGAGGAUGUUUCCAUCUAUUUUUCCUUGGAGGAGUGGGAGUAUAUAAAAGGAAACAAGGCCCUUUACAGGGAAGGGAUAAAGGAGGAGGAGCCCCAGCAGCUCCGCCCACUGGCAGCCUGUGAGUAUAAAGAUGGGAGCGAUGUUACAGCACAUACGGAAGCAACUUUAUGUUGUAAUAAUGAUGGGAAUCUCACAAACCCUGAUGUUUCUCCAGCGGAACAGCCCCCACCAGCCAAUGGGAUUAAAGAGGAACCGGCAUCAUGGGAAGAGGAAAACCAAUCAGAUUGCAGCAUUAAUCCCCUUACAGAACUGAUACAGGGAACAGACACGCCUACUCCUAUCAUGGGGUGCAGCCUGAAUAUCUUAAAAAUGGAGGGUAAUAAAAAUUCCCUCCAAUCUCCACAUAAAUCUCACACAACAAAAACUACAUUAUGUAGGAAAUACAGCUGCAAUGAGUGUCAUAAACACUUUACUUAUAAGAGAAACUAUGAUAAACAUUGUAGAACCCACAAAAGGGAGAAACCAUUUUCCUGUUCUGAAUGUGGGAAAUGUUUUUCAAUGCGAUCUGGCCUUGAUAUUCAUCACAGAACCCACACAGGGGAGAAACCUUUUUCUUGUUCUGAAUGUGGGAAAUGUUUUUUAUACCAUUCACGCCUUUGUCGUCAUCGGAAGACUCACACAGGGGAGAAACCAUUCUCUUGUUCUGAAUGUGGAAAAUGUUUUUCAAUGCGAUCUGGCCUUGAUAUUCAUCAAAGAACCCACACAGGGGAGAAGCCUUUUUCUUGUUCUGAAUGUGGGAAAUGUUUUUCUAUGCGAUCUGGCCUUGAUAUUCAUCAAAGAACCCACACAGGGGAGAAACCUUUUUCUUGUUCUGAAUGUGGGAAAUGUUUUUUAGACCAUUCACGCCUUGCUCAUCAUUGGAAGACUCACACAGGGGAGAAACCAUUCUCUUGUUCUGAAUGUGGGAAAUGUUUUGCAAACAAAUCUGACCUUAAAUGCCAUCAAAAAAUCCACACAGGAGAGAAACCAUUUUCUUGUUCUGAAUGUGGCAAAUGUUUUUCAACGCGAUCUGGCCUUUAUCAUCAUCAAAGAACUCACACAGGGAAGAAACCUUUUUCUUGUUCUGAAUGUGGGAAAUGUUUUUCAAGGCGAUCUGGCCUUGAUCGUCAUCAAAGAACCCACACAGGGGAGAAACCUUUUUCUUGUUCUGAAUGUGGAAAAUGUUUUUCAAUGCAAUCUGACCUUGCUAGGCAUCAAAGAACUCACACAGAGGAGAAACCUUUUUCUUGUUCUGAAUGUGGGAAAUUUUUUUCAAUGCAAUCUGGCCUUGAUAUUCAUCAAAGAACCCACACAGGGGAGAAACCUUUUUCUUGUUCUGAAUGUGGGAAAUGUUUUUUAGACCAUUCACGCCUUGCUCGUCAUCGGAAGACUCACACAGGGGAGAAACCAUUUUCUUGUUCUGAAUGUGGGAAAUGUUUUUCAAUGCGAUCUGGCCUUAAUAUUCAUCAAAGAACUCACACAGGGGAGAAACCUUUUUCUUGUUCUGAAUGUGGGAAAUGUUUUUUAGACCAUUCACGCCUUGCUCGUCAUCGAAAGACUCACACAGGGGAGAAACCAUUUUCUUGUUCUGAAUGUGGCAAAUGUUUUUCAAUGCGAUCUGACCUUGAUAUUCAUCAAAGAACCCACACAGGGGAGAAACCUUUUUCUUGUUCUGAAUGUGGGAAAUGUUUUUCAAUGCAAUCUGGCCUUGAUAUUCAUCAAAGAACCCACACAGGGGAGAAAACUUUUUCUUGUUCUGAAUGUGGGAAAUGUUUUUUAGACCAUUCACGCCUUGCUCUUCAUCGGAAGACUCACAUAGGGGAGAAACCAUUCUCUUGUUCUGAAUGUGGGAAAUGUUUUUCAAUGCGAUCUGGCCUUAAUAUUCAUCAAAGAACCCACACAGGGGAGAAACCUUUUUCUUGUUCUGAAUGUGGAAAAUGUUUUUUAGACCAUUCACGCCUUGCUCGUCAUCGGAAGAUUCACACAGGGGAGAAACCAUUUUCUUGUUCUGAAUGUGGCAAAUGUUUUUCAAUGCGAUCUGACCUUGAUAUUCAUCAAAGAGCCCACACAGGGGAGAAACCUUUUUCUUGUUCUGAAUGUGGGAAAUGUUUUUCAAUGCGAUCUGGCCUUGAUAUUCAUCAAAGAACCCACACAGGGGAGAAACCUUUUUCUUGUUCUGAAUGUGGGAAAUGUUUUUUAGACCAUUCACGCCUUGCUCGUCAUCGGAAGACUCACACAGGGGAGAAACCAUUCUCUUGUUCUGAAUGUGGGAAGUGUUUUGCAAACAAAUCUGUCCUUAAAUGCCAUGAAAUAAUCCACACAGGAGAGAAACCAUUUUCUUGUUCUGAAUGUGGCAAAUGUUUUUCAAUGCGAUCUGGCCUUUAUCAUCAUCAAAGAACUCACACAGGGGAGAAACGUUUUUCUUGUUCUGAAUGUGGGAAAUGUUUUUCAAUGCGAUCUGGCCUUGAUCGUCAUCAAAGAACCCACACAGGGGAGAAACCUUUUUCUUGUUCUGAAUGUGGAAAAUGUUUUUCAAUGCGAUCUGACCUUGCUCAGCAUCAAAGAACUCACACAGAGGAGAAACCAUUUUUUUGUUCUGAAUGUGGGAAAUGUUUGUCAAGUAAAUUACUUCUUAAAAUUCAUCAUAGAACCCACACAGGAGAGAAACCAUUGUCUUGUUCUGAAUGUGGGAAAUGUUUUUUAAACCAUUCACAACUUGCUUGUCAUCAAAGGACUCACACAGGGGAGAAACCAUUCUCUUGUUCUGAAUGUGGGAAAUGUUUUUCUAACCAAUCUCACCGUGUUCGUCAUCAGAGAAUUCACACCGGAGAGAAACCAUUUUCUUGUCCUGAAUGUGGCAAACGUUUUACAAAUCGAUUUCACCGUGAUCGUCAUCAGAGAAUUCACACAGGGGAGAGACCAUUUUCUUGUUCUGAAUGUGGGAAAUGUUUUUCAAACCAAUUUAACCUUAAAAAUCAUCAUAGACGACAACACAGGGGAGGCACCAUUUUCUUGUGAAUGCGGGAAACGUUUUAUAAAUCGAUCUAACCUUGAUCGUCAUCAAUGGACUCACACAGGGGAGAAACCAUUUUCUUUUUGCAAAGAGGAGGAGGAGCCCCGGCAGCUCCGCCCACUGGGAGAAAGUUCAGGAGAAAUUGGAAACCUCUGCACUGCGGUGGAGCUCUGCGGCAGGCUGGAGUUGGUUCCAGGCCAUAGGGAACGCUUGCUACACGGAGGGGGUGAGGAACCAGUGAUGGGGAAGAAGGAUAAACAUGAGGAGCGGAAGGAGAGAAUCCUGAAUCUCACACUGGAGAUUAUCUAUCUGCUGACUGGAGAGGGCUACGUCAUCCCUAAGAAGAAGAGCCCAACUGUGGGUUUGGGGGCCCUGCAUGCCCCUGGCUCCGUCAUACAGAAGGAAAAUGACAAGAAGAUCCUGGAACUCAUCUCCAACAUCAUCCAGCUGCUGACUGGAGAGGUUGCCAUAAGGAGUGAGGAUGUUUCCAUCUAUUUUUCCUUGGAGGAGUGGGAGUAUAUAAAAGGAAACAAGGCCCUUUACAGGGAAGGGAUAAAGGAGGAGGAGGAGGAGCCCCAGCAGCUCCGCCCACUGGCCUGUGAGUAUAAAGAUGGGAGCGAUGUUACAGCACAUACGGAAGCAACUUUAUGUUGUAAUAAUGAUGGGAAUCUCACAAACCCUGAUGUUUCUCCAGCGGAACAGCCCCCACCGGCCAAUGGGAUUAAAGAGGAAGAGGCUUCAUGGGAAGAGGAAAACCAAUCAGAUUGCAGCAUUAAUCCCCUUACAGAACAGAUACAGGGAACAGACACACCUACUCCUAUCAUGGGGUGCAGCCUGAAUAUCUUAAAAAUGGAGGGUAAUAAAAAUUCCCUCCAAUCUCCACAUAAAUGUCAUAAACACUUUACUUAUAAGAGAGACUAUGAUAAACAUCAUAGAACCCACAAAAGUAAAAAACCCUUUUCAUCUUCUAAUUCUGGAAAAUGUUUUUCAAUUCGAUCCAACCUUAAACGCCAUCAAGUAACUCACACAGGGGAGAAACCAUUUUCUUGUUCUGAAUGUGGGAAAUGUUUUUCAAUGCGAUCUGGCCUUAAUAUUCAUUAUAGAACCCACACAGGGGAGAAACCAUUUUCUUGUUCUGAAUGUGGCAAAUGUUUUUCAAUGCGAUCUAGCCUUGAUCGUCAUCAAAGAACCCACACAGGGGAGAAACCUUUUUCUUGUUCUGAAUGUGGAAAAUGUUUUUCAAUGCGAUCUGACCUUGCUCAGCAUCAAAGAACUCACACAGAGGAGAAACCUUUUUCUUGUUCUGAAUGUGGGAAAUGUUUUUUAGACCAGUCGCGCCUUGCUCGUCAUCGGAAGACUCACACAGGGGAGAAACCAUUUUCUUGUUCUGAAUGUGGGAAAUGUUUUUCAAUGCGAUCAGGCCUUAAUAUUCAUCAAAGAACCCACACAGGGGAGAAACCUUUUUCUUGUUCUGAAUGUGGGAAAUGUUUUUUAGACCAGUCACGCCUUGCUCGUCAUCGGAAGACUCACACAGGGGAGAAACCAUUUUCUUGUUCUGAAUGUGGCAAAUGUUUUUCAAUGCGAUUUCGCCUUGGUAUUCAUCAAAGAACCCACACAGGGGAGAAACCUUUUUCUUGUUCUGAAUGUGGGAAAUGUUUUUUAGACCAUUCACGCCUUGCUCGUCAUCGGAAGACUCACACAGGGGAGAAACCAUUCUCUUGUUCUGAAUGUGGGAAAUGUUUUGCAAACAAAUCUGACCUUAAAUGCCAUCAAAUAAUCCACACAGGAGAGAAACCAUUUUCUUGUUCUGAAUGUGGGAAAUGUUUUUCAAUGCGAUCUGACCUUGCUCAGCAUCAAAGAACUCACACAGAGGAGAAACCAUUUUCUUGUUCUGAAUGUGGGAAAUGUUUUUUAAACCAUUCACGCCUUGCUCGUCAUCGGAAGACUCACACAGGGGAGAAACCAUUUUCUUGUUCUGAAUGUGGGAAAUGUUUUUUAGACCAGUCACGCCUUGCUCGUCAUCGGAAGAUUCACACAGGGGAGAAACCAUUCUCUUGUUCCGAAUGUGGGAAAUGUUUUUCAAUGCGAUUUCGCCUUGGUAUUCAUCAAAGAACCCACACAGGGGAGAAACCAUUCUCUUGUUCUGAAUGUGGGAAAUGUUUUUCAAUGCGAUCUGGCCUUAAUAUUCAUCAAAGAACCCACACAGGGGAGAAACCUUUUUCUUGUUCUGAAUGUGGGAAAUGUUUUUUAGACCAGUCACUCCUUGUUCGUCAUCGGAAGACUCACACAGGGGAGAAGCCAUUUUCUUGUUCUGAAUGUGGCAAAUGUUUUUCAAUGCGAUUUCGCCUUGGUAUUCAUCAAAGAACCCACACAGGGGAGAAACCUUUUUCUUGUUCUGAAUGUGGGAAAUGUUUUUUAGACCAUUCACGCCUUGCUCGUCAUCGGAAGACUCACACAGGGGAGUAACCAUUCUCUUGUUCUGAAUGUGGUAAAUGUUUUGCAAACAAAUCUGACCUUAAAUGCCAUCAAAUAAUCCACACAGGAGAGAAACCAUUUUCUUGUUCUGAAUGUGGGAAAUGUUUUUUAAACCAUUCACACCUUGCUCGUCAUCAAAGAACUCACACAGGGGAGAAACCAUUCUCUUGUUCUGAAUGUGGGAAAUGUUUUUCUAACUAAUCUCAAACUCUUUCACACAUGAGAGAAACUUUUUUAUGUCCACCAUAAAAUGUUUCUUUAAGAGAACCCUUAGACCAGGGAUCCCCAACCUUUCUUACUCGUGAGUCAAAAGUAAAAAGACUUGUAGUGCAACACAAGCAUUAUAAAAGUUCAUGGGGGUGCCAAAUAAGGGGUAAGAUUUGCUAUUAGGCAGCUUCUGCACGCACUAUUGGCUUACAGGUGGGCUUUAUUUGGUAGUAAAUCUUAUUUGUCACUGCCUUAGACCAACAGUUUGCAGUCACCUGACGGGCACUGGGCAAUUCUGAGACCUGGGGGGCACCAAAGCAGAAUGCACCAUAAGUACCUUCCCCCGGCACUGGCUCUGCAUUGGGAACUGAGGAGCCCUCUGGGAUAUAU